GGUUAAGCGACUAAGCGUACACGGUGGAUGCCCUGGCAGUCAGAGGCGAUGAAGGACGUGCUAAUCUGCGAAAAGCGUCGGUAAGGUGAUAUGAACCGUUAUAGCCGGCGAUGUCCGAAUGGGGAAACCCAGUGCAAUUCGUUGCACUAUCGUUAACUGAAUACAUAGGUUAACGAGGCGAACCGGGGGAACUGAAACAUCUAAGUACCCCGAGGAAAAGAAAUCAACCGAGAUUCCCCCAGUAGCGGCGAGCGAACGGGGAGCAGCCCAGAGUCUGAAUCAGCUUGUGUGUUAGUGGAACGGUCUGGAAAGUCCGACGGUACAGGGUGAUAGUCCCGUACACCAAAAUGCACAGGUUGUGAACUCGAAGAGUAGGGCGGGACACGUGGUAUCCUGUCUGAAUAUGGGGGGACCAUCCUCCAAGGCUAAAUACUCCUGACUGACCGAUAGUGAACCAGUACCGUGAGGGAAAGGCGAAAAGAACCCCGGCGAGGGGAGUGAAAAAGAACCUGAAACCGUGUACGUACAAGCAGUGGGAGCACCUUCGGGUGUGACUGCGUACCUUUUGUAUAAUGGGUCAGCGACUUAUAUUCUGUAGCAAGGUUAACCGUAUAGGGGAGCCGCAGGGAAACCGAGUCUUAACUGGGCGUUAAGUUGCAGGGUAUAGACCCGAAACCCGGUGAUCUAGCCAUGGGCAGGUUGAAGGUUGGGUAACACUAACUGGAGGACCGAACCGACUAAUGUUGAAAAAUUAGCGGAUGACUUGUGGCUGGGGGUGAAAGGCCAAUCAAACCGGGAGAUAGCUGGUUCUCCCCGAAAGCUAUUUAGGUAGCGCCUCGUGAAUUCAUCUUCGGGGGUAGAGCACUGUUUCGGCUAGGGGGUCAUCCCGACUUACCAACCCGAUGCAAACUACGAAUACCGAAGAAUGUUAUCACGGGAGACACACGGCGGGUGCUAACGUCCGUCGUGAAGAGGGAAACAACCCAGACCGCCAGCUAAGGUCCCAAAGUCAUGGUUAAGUGGGAAACGAUGUGGGAAGGCACAGACAGCCAGGAUGUUGGCUUAGAAGCAGCCAUCAUUUAAAGAAAGCGUAAUAGCUCACUGGUCGAGUCGGCCUGCGCGGAAGAUGUAACGGGGCUAAACCAUGCACCGAAGCUGCGGCAGCGACACUAUGUGUUGUUGGGUAGGGGAGCGUUCUGUAAGCCUGCGAAGGUGACCUGUGAGGGUUGCUGGAGGUAUCAGAAGUGCGAAUGCUGACAUAAGUAACGAUAAAGCGGGUGAAAAGCCCGCUCGCCGGAAGACCAAGGGUUCCUGUCCAACGUUAAUCGGGGCAGGGUGAGUCGACCCCUAAGGCGAGGCCGAAAGGCGUAGUCGAUGGGAAACAGGUUAAUAUUCCUGUACUUGGUGUUACUGCGAAGGGGGGACGGAGAAGGCUAUGUUAGCCGGGCGACGGUUGUCCCGGUUUAAGCAUGUAGGCUGGUUAUCCAGGCAAAUCCGGAUAAUCAAGGCUGAGGUGUGAUGACGAGGCACUACGGUGCUGAAGUAACAAAUGCCCUGCUUCCAGGAAAAGCCUCUAAGCAUCAGGUAACAUCAAAUCGUACCCCAAACCGACACAGGUGGUCAGGUAGAGAAUACCAAGGCGCUUGAGAGAACUCGGGUGAAGGAACUAGGCAAAAUGGUGCCGUAACUUCGGGAGAAGGCACGCUGGUGUGUAGGUGAAGUCCCUGCGGAUGGAGCUGAGACCAGUCGAAGAUACCAGCUGGCUGCAACUGUUUAUUAAAAACACAGCACUGUGCAAACACGAAAGUGGACGUAUACGGUGUGACGCCUGCCCGGUGCCGGAAGGUUAAUUGAUGGGGUUAUCCGUAAGGAGAAGCUCUUGAUCGAAGCCCCGGUAAACGGCGGCCGUAACUAUAACGGUCCUAAGGUAGCGAAAUUCCUUGUCGGGUAAGUUCCGACCUGCACGAAUGGCGUAAUGAUGGCCAGGCUGUCUCCACCCGAGACUCAGUGAAAUUGAACUCGCUGUGAAGAUGCAGUGUACCCGCGGCAAGACGGAAAGACCCCGUGAACCUUUACUAUAGCUUGACACUGAACAUUGAGCCUUGAUGUGUAGGAUAGGUGGGAGGCUUUGAAGCGUGGACGCCAGUCUGCGUGGAGCCAACCUUGAAAUACCACCCUUUAAUGUUUGAUGUUCUAACGUUGGCCCCUUACCGGGGUUGCGGACAGUGUCUGGUGGGUAGUUUGACUGGGGCGGUCUCCUCCCAAAGCGUAACGGAGGAGCACGAAGGUUAGCUAAUCCUGGUCGGACAUCAGGAGGUUAGUGCAAUGGCAUAAGCUAGCUUGACUGCGAGCGUGACGGCGCGAGCAGGUGCGAAAGCAGGUCAUAGUGAUCCGGUGGUUCUGAAUGGAAGGGCCAUCGCUCAACGGAUAAAAGGUACUCCGGGGAUAACAGGCUGAUACCGCCCAAGAGUUCAUAUCGACGGCGGUGUUUGGCACCUCGAUGUCGGCUCAUCACAUCCUGGGGCUGAAGUAGGUCCCAAGGGUAUGGCUGUUCGCCAUUUAAAGUGGUACGCGAGCUGGGUUUAGAACGUCGUGAGACAGUUCGGUCCCUAUCUGCCGUGGGCGCUGGAGAAUUGAGGGGGGCUGCUCCUAGUACGAGAGGACCGGAGUGGACGCAUCACUGGUGUUCGGGUUGUCAUGCCAAUGGCACUGCCCGGUAGCUAAAUGCGGAAGAGAUAAGUGCUGAAAGCAUCUAAGCACGAAACUUGCCCCGAGAUGAGUUCUCCCUGAGACUUUAAGUCUCCUGAAGGAACGUUGAAGACGACGACGUUGAUAGGCCGGGUGUGUAAGCGCAGCGAUGCGUUGAGCUAACCGGUACUAAUGAACCGUGAGGCUUAACCUU
rnacentral:rRNA from 1 species